GUUGAAACUAAAACAGAUGAGUUAUAUCCAAGUAAAGACAUGGCACAAAUAUCUAGCGCUGAAAGAAGGGUUUUACUUUAUCUAGACCAUGACAUGGUGUUUAUUCCAAUAAAUAUCCGAGAAAUGCACUGGUAUCUUGCCGUGAUCAAUGCAAGAAAUAUGGAGAUACAAGUGCUCGACUCACUUGGUACAUCAUCCGGUCGCAAUGACCUCAUUGACACU